UUUAAUUAAUGUCCUGUGAUUUGCAAUAACAUGGCGUUCAUUGUGAUUCUAGGCUAAACAUAUUAGAAUGUGUUAAAUAGGUGUAUUACCAUUUUAGGAACUCUUGAAAGCUGUGGUUCAUUUUAUUAAGGUACUGAAAUUCCCACAAUUUUUAAGAUAGAAAUUGGCCAUUUUCACUCUAAUCUUCUUUUCUAAAAUUUUCAAGUCAAAUAUCUCUGUCAUUUGCUUGAGUACCUUAUUAGGGAGCUG
rnacentral:misc_RNA from 1 species